rnacentral:rRNA from 1 species
UACGUAGGGGGCGAGCGUUACCCGGAUUUACUGGGCGUAAAGGGUGCGUAGGCGGGUCUUUAAGUCAGGGGUGAAAUCCUGGAGCUCAACUCCAGAACUGCCUUUGAUACUGAGGAUCUUGAGUUCGGGAGAGGUGAGUGGAACUGCGAGUGUAGAGGUGAAAUUCGUAGAUAUUCGCAAGAACACCAGUGGCGAAGGCGGCUCACUGGCCCGAUACUGACGCUGAGGCACGAAAGCGUGGGGAGCAAACAGG